rnacentral:rRNA from 1 species
ACAGCAUGGCACUUAAACCCUGGGCUACACACGUGCUACAUUGG